CAAUCGUAUCUGCCAGUACUUUCAGGGCCUGAGGAUAUAACUCAUCUGGAAUCACCAACUUGAAUUCAUCAAUAGCAAGAAAGUACAGAGAACUAGGCUGCUGCUGCUUGUCUGAUGGCUUACUCUUACUAGUGAGCAUUAAGAAACAGUGACAGGAUUUCAGCAGCCAGAGAAUGAAUGACUCAGGCUAUAACGCAUUGCUAACAGCAGUCAGGCAACAUAAAGGAAGUCAUCGGAGAACUGUAGAAUUGAAAAAGAAGAUGUGUUGGUCAUGUAGCAAGAGCAAAGAAAAACCAACCAGUGGACAGCUGCACAUGACAAUGGUGUCUUUGUGAUGUCAAGAGAAAGCAAAGAAGGCCCUCAAGGUGUAGGGUUUGCUGUCCCCCUCCCCUCCUACUUCCUCUGCCUUCCAUGAUGGAUUUACUGGAGGAUCUAGGUGAAGACGGGUUAAGAGCUGCAUCACUGGAGAGAA